CUGAAUAUAAACCAAUAAACUAAGUCUAGUAACAUGAUUAAACCUAACAUAGUCAGCAAUCAUAUCAGUCAUCAUCAUUUCAUCCACCUUCUCCUCUUUCUUCUCCACAUCAUCGUCGGGCUAAUUCGGUAUCCAAUUUCAACGACUUCUUUGCAGAUACGACUGGCUUGAGGAGAAGAACUUAAAACUGGAUACUUUGUAUGGGCAAUGACUGCAUAACAUCACUUUUACGUGUAAUGCAAGUCUUCCUUGGAGGUAAUAAUUUGUAGGUCUCCUAGUG
rnacentral:lncRNA from 1 species